GUCUACAGCCAUGCUACACUGAACAAGCCUGAUCCCAUCUGAUCUCGUAAGCUAAGCAGGGGAGGGCUUGGUUAGUGCUUGGAUGGGAGACCACCUAGGAAGACCAGGUGCUGUAGGUG
rnacentral:rRNA from 1 species